UUCAGGCACGCAGCUUGGCAACAAGCAGUAAUGGAUAUUUAUUGGGCUAUCAAAUCCACAGAGACUUGUUUAUUUAUCUGAGUACUAUGAUUGUUGGUGUUCCAUAGUCCACUCACUGCUAUCCUUAAAAAGGUGUCAUGUUUAACAGUUGUUUUCAAGCUUGAUUCCUGGACUUCAAAAAAAAAAAAAAAAAAAAGUUCUUUGAAGUUGCUAUUAGUAAUGCAGUGUCUGGAGACCCCAUUAUGCCAGCCAUGGUACAAAAGAAGAGGCAGACUUGGUGCAGGAAAUGAGCCCAAACAUCACCAGAGCAGAGACAGCAGACUUGGUGCUGCAGCAGGUGGAAAAUGAGCAGUUAUGCCUUUUGAGAAAAUUGGGAAAUAGGAAGUGAAGCCUGUCAAAGUCAGUGGUGUGAAAACUGAACAUGAUCAUCCAGCUAAAUAAAAUUCCAUUAAUUCAUUAGUGUGGGUGUGCUGAAAAAUAUAGUUCAUCAGAAACUUCCCUUAUGAAAUA